rnacentral:sRNA from 1 species
AUGAAGCCGAGUCCAGCCCAGGAGCGGGGGAACCAGGAUGGGUAAGCGGGAAACCGAACUGCUCAUCAAGUUAUUGGGGUGAACAAGCGGAAAGCGGUGUCAGGCAAAAGCCUUUCAUGGCGGAACGCUUGAGGGUGGCCUUCUCCACCCUAACCCGGCAGCUAACCUCGUAGGCGAAAAAAGAGAGGA